UGCACAAACUGAUCCUUCAGUAAAGGUCGUUUUUGUCCUACCUCCAUCAUGUUCGUUCUGUUUCUCCGGACUGGUCUUACUAGUUUCAACCUUGCGGUUGAAAUAAGGAUUACCUCACUGUAUGUGUCCCAACCCAAUGUCAUGACUAACACAUCACGCUAAGAAGAUGGAGCUUCCAUUUUGGUAA